UACAGAGGGGGCAAGCGUUGUUCGGAAUUACUGGGCGUAAAGGGCGCGUAGGCGGCCUUCUAAGUCGAACGUGAAAUCCCCGGGCUCAACCCGGGAACUGCGUCCGAUACUGGAAGGCUUGAAUCCGGGAGAGGGAUGUGGAAUUCCAGGUGUAGCGGUGAAAUGCGCAGAUAUCAGGAGGAACACCAAUGGCGAAGGCAGCACUCUGGGACGUGACUGACGCUGAGACGCGAAAGCGUGGGGAGCAAACAGG
rnacentral:rRNA from 1 species